rnacentral:rRNA from 1 species
UCCGUGCCAGCAGCCGCGGUAAUACGGAGGAUGCGAGCGUUAUCCGGAUUUAUUGGGUUUAAAGGGAGCGUAGGUGGUCUGUUAAGCCAGCUGUGAAAUACUGUAGCUCAACUACAGCCGUGCAGUUGGAACUGGCGGACUUGAGUGCACAAGAGGAAGGUGGAAUUCAUGGUGUAGCGGUGAAAUGUUUAGAUAUCAUGAAGAACUCCGAUUGCGAAGGCAGCCUUCUGGGGUGCAACUGACACUGAUGCUCGAAAGUGUGGGUAUCGAACAGGAUUAGAUACCCUGGUAGUCCACACAGUAAACUAUGGAUACUCGCUGCCGGCGAUACACAGUCGGUGGCUUAGCGAAAGCGUUAAGUAUCCCACCUGGGGAGUACGCCGGCAACGGUGAAACUCAAAGGAAUUGACGGGGGCCCGCACAAGCGGAGGAACAUGUGGUUUAAUUCGAUGAUACGCGAGGAACCUUACCCAGGCUCGAACGGCAAUCUGAAUGUUAGUAGAGAUACUUUCAGUCUUCGGACAGGUUGUCGAGGUGCUGCAUGGUUGUCGUCAGCUCGUGCCGUGAGGUGUCGGCUUAAGUGCCAUAACGAGCGCAACCCUUGCUGUCAGUUGCCAUCGGGUCAUGCCGGGCACUCUGGCGGGACUGCCAUCGCAAGAUGUGAGGAAGGUGGGGAUGACGUCAAAUCAGCACGGCCCUUACGUCUGGGGCUACACACGUGUUACAAUGGGGAGUACAGAGGGAUGCCACCUGGCGACAGGGCGCUGAUCCCGAAAUCUCUUCUCAGUUCGGA